GAUCCUUGAGGUCCCUUCCAACCCGGGUCAUUCUGUGAUUCUGUGUGACCUGGGAGAAGAGGCUGACACUUCACAGGAGCUUGUGCUUCAUUUCCUUCAUCUCAAGUGCAGACUUUUCUCUUUGUAUAAUGUCAGAAAGAACCAGCUGUGUCUGCAGCACCUCUGAAAUGAGCAUUUGUUCUACAGAAUUCUCAAGUAACUGAUGUUCAUUGUAAAAGCACAUCUGCAGAGCUUCCCCCCAUCUCACAUCUCACCAAAACCUGUGCUCUUAAUAACAAGGCUGCACUCAUGCAUUCAGCAGUACUAUGAAGUUAUGGCAGUAUCUGCAAGUCACCCUGCUCCACUUGUCACUCCUAACCUCGAACAUUCAGGUGCGAGACUGAGAGCUGAAGUAGAUUUAUAAAUAGCUCUGUAGAUGACAGUUUGGGGGCGAUCCAGGAGGAAUAAGCGGGAUGUUGUAGCCACCUCUCCUACCUCCUGCUGUGACUGUGCAAAAAUGACAAAAACAAAACAGCACAUGAUACACAUUGGCAGAUCGGUCGGAAUAACGGUUCUGUCCUCUCGUGUGGAACCCAUGGAUUGUUUUUUGUUGUAUUGUGGGAUACAAGGACAAGUUAAAGAUUCUGUUUUGUCGUAGUCACAACAAAGAGAACUGUAGUCUAGUACAAGUAAACUCAGUCCAGUCUCCAGAGGCAAUUGUUGUAUGUGUGAAAAACACAGUGCCCAUUUUUAAGAGACAAGACCUGGUCUUUAUAGUUUGAUCAACUGAUUUCUUUAUCAGAAGAUUCAAUACAAGAAAAGCACAUCUUAAAUCUCUUUGGCUGCCUAAGCACCUGACAGAUGGUCCAACCGCACCAAGUUCUGAGCUGUUAACAGGGAGUUGCCCUCCCUGUCCCUCGGCACUGCAGCAUGAGAACACAUCCUGUGAGCAUCUCAGCUGGUGUGAGUUUGUGAGUAAAGAAGGAAAUGCUUCAGCAUUAGCCUGGAAGAACAGCUUAGAGUCACAGCAGCACUAUUCAUCAAAGGACUGCACCUCUUGACAUGCAGAAGUAACUGAACAGACAGGAUAUUUACUAGGAGUGCACGAGUAGAUCAUUGCCAUUCAGUGGCACAGCUGUAUUUACCCAGCAUACUCUGCAGUUCUGUAUUAUGGAUUUGUAUCCUCAAGAACAAACUGUCUCCCAGCUUUUUCCAUGGGAAAUGAGUGUAAGACAACUCCAGCUGCCUGAAACCCCCACUCCCAGCACAAGGAAUUAGAGUAAGAACAUCAGCAUUCUUAAAAAGAAAAAAAAGGCAAAAUAAUCAUUAGGAUGAUGUAAAGGGCACUUUUGUGAGAAGGCUCGUGUCAUGGGCUCAUGCUAGCACACCCGAUAGUAAUAUAAAUGGAAAAGUAGGCCUUGCUUACAGCAGAAAGACUUCAGACUGCCAUUGGAUACCUCUGCAUUUCCUAGGCACUACUCUCAUGGAGCAGGGGGCUGAAUUUUCUCAAAAUCACCUGUUUGUGAUAAAGAGCCAGAUGACCUCAAAGCAGGUGUGAUUUAGUAAAAUGUUGCCUGUUCCAUCCUCAACAGUCUUAGCAGGAUUUAGUUUGCUAUGAACCCUAACCAGAAAAGCAGGGAUUCUGCUGGUGGCUCUAGGGAGAGUCAAGGAUCUCUCUGGUGCCCCAUUUAACCACUGGUACUGGGACCACCAUCCUCAGCAACUGAGCCCUGCACCAUCCAACUCACAGCACUUUCCCCAGUAACAUCUUCAUAGGAGGCUCAUUCUCACAGGUGUUGCCUAAUUAGAUAAUUAAGAAGAGAAUUAGGUGAAAACAGGCAGCCUGAACAGGGUGCUCUGUGCCACAUUUAUUUGUGAUAGAACUCUUGUGGUCUAUGAAGUGCAAUCUGCCACUAAGUAUGGAAAAACAUUCACUCCUCUGAAACUUCAGAGGCUGUGGUAAGGUCAGAGAUGUAGGGGGCACAUGAUUUCUGUAUCCACGGACUACCAGGAGUGCUUCACCUGUCUCUGCAGACCCUCUGUCCCUGCUAGGUUUCCCCUCCACAUCACUGCCGAGGUGCAGGAUGCUUUGCUUAAGUGCAUGAACAUAACGUUUUCCUCAUGUUCAGGUCCACAGCUUCUCUGUGCAAAAGUUUUGUUGCCAGUAGGUGGCAUACUUCUCCUGACUCUGGAGACUGAAAAGGCUUGCUGCUUGUCUGAACUAGCUCUUAUCAAGUGCUGAUAGCUGUUCUGCAAAAAUAGUAUCUUUCUCUGGUAGAGCUCUCUUUUAUGAUAGGAUUAGGCUCAAACCAGUUUUAGAAUAAGCUCAAUAUAAUCUGAGACAGACUUGAUUAUUACUGUCCAUAUUUGUGCUUUCCCCAUUUUUGCCAGAGCUUUUCAUCCACUGCUGCUGAUCCAUCGGCACAAGUCUUCUGCUGCAGUUUCUUGUAGGUUGCUUGGCCUUACAUGCAGGAGGUAAUUAAUUAGUUCUCCGAUGUGUGACUUGGACAUUCCUGCUCUACUGCUAACUUGACAAAGAGUGUAAUUCAGUGUGGAAUAAUGUCCUCACAGUAUUGUAGACAGUAACUAAAGUCCAUAUGGAAAUAUCCAGGUUGUGCAUCUCAUGGCUCUUUUGUAAAUAGAACUUUCUGGCAUGAAGAACAGCAUCCCACUUGCAAUAAAAUAAUCAAUUUCUAAGAAACCCAGGUUAACCAAGGUCUCUGCUGGAACUUAACCUUGAACAUAUUGUUGUCUUCAAUGGAGCCAUACACAGAGCACGCAGUUAAACAUAUCUACAAUUCCAGUCUGUGAAAAUUCAGUGAUACAAAGUUGUAACUGCACAGGCCUAUUGGCAGGAUAAAGAUCCCAAGUUCGACCUGAAAACUGUUAUUUUAGCUGUUAGUUUUCUCUGACAAAACAAAGCAAAACAAACCUCACCAGAUUGCUUAUUGUUUCAUUAUUCAGCAGUUCCUCAUCUUGUCUCUUCAGCAAUCCAUUUCUUUGGUCUGGAACAAAUAAGCAGAGUGCUUUUUAGAAACAUACUAUUUUAUCUAACUUUGUUCUCAGCAAUGGCAGGUGAAUUUUAGCACUGACUUCGGUGUAACCAGAAUUAAGCUAAAGCUGAGUAUAUUCCAAAAUCCUGCUGAGGACCUGGUAACAUUACUGAGUUCUCAGGUAGCUACUUAGGCAACAGCAGCGCCCAACAGACAAUAUUCUCUGACUUCUCUCAUUUAAGUCUGCCCUUGCCCAACUGAUUUUCAUUCCAGAAGUCAAAGCAUUCAGAUUGUAUAGUUGAUAACUAGAAAUAAAAUGAGUUUCCUUUCCUUUGGGGGAAAAAAAUAACAACUAAAAGUAAUACAUGUAAUAGAAGUUCAAUUGGAAGCUUGUUCUAAAUUUCAGCUUCUCCACACAUUUUUAGUUCUACUGUUAGAUUGUUUUUUGUUGGAUUUUAUGAUCAGCUUGAAUAUGAAGUUUUCUCUUUGUGGGUGGUAAAUAAAAUGACUUAAGUCC